UGCCAUGACUAAUACAUGCAGUCGAGCGGACAGAUGGGAGCUUGCUCCCUGAUGUCAGCGGCGGACGGGUGAGUAACUGGUGGGUAACCUGCCUGUAAGACUGGGAUAACUCCGGGAAACCGGGGCUAAUACCGGAUGCUUGAUUGAACCGCAGGGUUCAAUUAUAAAAGGUGGCUUUUACCUACCCCUUCCGAAGGGACCCGCGGCGCAUUAGUAAGUGGGUGAGGUAACGGCUCACCAAGGCAAAAAUGCGAAGCCAACCGGAAAGGGUGAUCGGCAAACCGGGAACUGAAACCCGGCCCAAACUCCUACGGGGGGCAGCAUUAGGGAAUCUUCCGCAAGGGACAAAACUCUGACGGACCACCGCCGCGGGAGGGAUGAAGGUUUUCGGAUCUUAAAAUUCUGUUGUUAGGGAAAAACAAGUACCGUUCAAUUAGGGCGUUACCUUGACGGUCCCUAACCAAAAAGCCACGGCUAACUACGUGCCACCAGCCGCGGUAUUACGUAGGUGGCAAUUAUUGGUCCGUAAAUUAUUGCGCAGUAAGGCGCGCGCAGUCUGUUUUUUUAGUCUGAUGCUGAAACCCCC
rnacentral:rRNA from 1 species